UGUUAGUGCCACUAAAAUAAUAACCUUGUAACCUGGUCAGGAUAGAAAUAUAGCAGCCAUAUCGAGAAGUAUUGUGUUUAGUGGUCUUUUUAAUCUUU
rnacentral:SRP_RNA from 2 species